AGCCACCCGCCUGGCCUCCCAAAGUGCUGGGAUAGCAGGUGUGAGCCACUGUGCCUGGCCAUAAGUUGAAAGUUGAGAAUCACAGCACCUUUCAGGGAAGGGAUAGAUUUUUUGAUAACUUGUGUGUUUAAGGAAAUAAUAUAUUUAAUAAACUCACAUGCAAAAAUAACAUCUGUUAUCACUGAUUGGGGAAAUUUAGUAGAAAUGCAAAAAUUGAAAUGACAUUAAUUUGGCCACAUUGGAGAGGCUCGGCAGAAGAGAUUCAUGUUUAUAUACUUUAAAAUGUAAAUAGUGCUCAUCAGGGGACAUAGCCUCACUUCACAUAACGUGUUUUCAGAUAAACAAGUGGGGGAAAUUUCCACUAAUCCUAUAGGGGCAUAAUUAAAAAUAAUUAGGCAGAAAAAAAUCCCCUCACUUAUUUUAUUUUAAAACUUCAAGAAAAAGACAGAGAUAGAUUUUGCAUUUUCAGAAAAUGGUGAGUGUGUAGUACAGGCUUGAGAUCGAAAGUCCCCAGUGAUGUAAGCUUCCUUCUUCAUGUAUACCUGCCAAUUUACUUUAAAAAAAAUGCUUACAAUGGACUGUCUCCAGGGAAGAGAAGGGUAUGCGCUUAAUGACUCAGUCCUUGGCAACCAUUAAUAAGUAUGCUAGUUAGAGGCAAUCAAAGAGCAUAAUAUGCAUACUGCAAACCCAGGAAAAUACUAGUUUGGAAAGAUAAAUAAUAGACAGACAGACAGAAAGAUAGACAUCUUAUGGUGAAAUGAAAAAGUAAGUAGAAUGGCAAUCACCCUGGCUUUUGCUGCAGUAACAAAUAAUAACCAAAUCUCAGUGCAAACACAUGUAUUUAUUGCUCACAUUAUAGGAGGGGAGUAGGUUGUUUGGGUUUGUGCCAACCGUGGCUAGGCUCUAUGUCUUCUUAAUCUGGGAACCAGGUUAAAGCAGUAGCCGCUAUUUGGAGCAUGUAAUACUAAGAAGGGCAGAGGGCUGAGGGGGCAGAGCCACUCCCUACAAGGGCAUUGCAUUUUUCUGCUGGGACAUAGCAUACUUCUCAUCCACUCACAUUCCAUUGGCAAAGAAAUUCCAAAGUCAGUUGGCGAGGAAAUUGAUUGCACCACAGGAAAACAUGACAAAGGUAGAGAGGAAUAAAGAACUGUGAACAAUCAAGUUUAUCACACCUGAGAGAUAGAAAACAUUAAAAUAAUAUGGCCAGUUAUACAUUUUUUAAGAAAAUAUUAUGAUUGUUAAACACGUAAUUCAGAAAGAAAACUCCUUCCGCUAGUGGUAGGUGGACCCAAUUUUACAGAGCCUGAAACCUAUGCAAUCUUUAUGAUCAUCUUUAGAAAAAUAUCGUCAAAUAGUGCUAAUAAAAAUUAGAGGGGUUUGAAGCUUAAAUUUAAUUAGCUUCAAGGUAAAUUUGAUUUUGCUUUUACUUUAAGUGAUGUAAGAACAACCUAACUUUAUUCAUUAAUAAAAUUUUGGUAAAAUAUAUAUACUUAACUUCAAAACUUGAAUUAGUACUGUUCUUUUAAAAUAAGAUACUGUAUUUUUUUAAAUAAAUAGAGAAUCAGUUAUUUGUUUGGACCUGAGAACAUGAUAAGAUAAUCUUCUGGCCUCUUGAGGUCACCUAGUUCACUUAAAAACUGCAAGGAAGGUAGGAAUCACUGGAAGUCCUUCUCUGAAGAAACCUAUCUAUUCAAAUUUUAUUUAUCUAAAGAAUCCAAAUUGGCUGCUAUUGUUAAAUAUAUGAUGACCUGCUUUGUGAUAGUAUUGUAAUGAGUAUGUUUAAUUUUGGAAAAAAUAUAUGCCACCUGCCCUUGGCUCCAGAGGAUGGCUGAUGUGUAGAUGCAAGAUUUUUCCUAAGAAUUAAUGCUUAUUUUUUCAGCUAACAUAAAAAAUAACUUAUUUCAUAUAUUUUCCAGACUUCUAGAUAUUAUUGUUGAGAAUAAUGGAGUAAAUUAUGGAUGAUGUGGUUUUAAAGCCAGAUGAGCUGACAGUAAACAGUAAAGAGGGUUAAAAUGUGGUGAGGCUCAUUCCUGUUAGGUCCAGAUCCAGUCCGUAGGAUAAGACAUGAGGAAACGUUGAAAGAUGGAGGCCAGAAAGAGCCUGCACCCCAAGUCUCUAUCAUUCUUCUCUUUACUUGGUGUGGUAGGCAGGAUAAUGGUUCACAAAGUAAUCCACACCCUAAUCCCCAGAACCUGUGACUAUGUUCCUUACAUGGCAAAGUUACUCUCUAAAUGUGAUUCGGGUUAUGGACUUUGAGAUGGGGAAAUUAUCCUGCAAUAUCCAGGUGGGUUUAAUCUAAUACUGCAAAUCCCUGAAAACAGAGUCCCUGUCCUGACUGUGGCCAGAGAUGACAGAAGAGUCAGUGAGAUUGGACCUGCUGAGCUGGCCUCCAGAAAAAACAGAGCCCUGCCGACACAUUGAUUUUUGUCUCGUAAGAUUCUUGCUGAACUUCUGACCUACAGAACUGUAAGUUAAUAAAUCUGUGUUGCUUCGAGCUACUACUUCUAUGGUAAUACACUUGGUGAAGCAGGGCAAUGAAUCACCCACUCUGCCGUGAUCCAACAGGCAUUCUUUUUUCAGCCCAGUUUAUCUCUUUCCAUUUCCUCAACUUGUGUUUGUGAAGUGACAUUUUAGGUUCUCUUAGUCUGAUUAUUCUGCGUGAGGUAAAGUGGCACAAUACUCUUUGACAAUCCUAUGAGUCACAUUCUCCAGUAUGAUCAAACUGUUUGUAGCGAAUCAGGGAAAUUAUUUUGGAAGUACUCUUAUUUUCUGUUGAUACAGUUUAACAAUUUUGUUUGUUCAUAUUGCUGAAACUGAGCAUAUAAUGUUAAGUUCUUCUAUGGUCUUUGAAAUGUGGACGUAUUUGAACUGUUAAACUGCAUUCUGAUUAAAUCCACUUAAACUUUGUUAUAAUGCAUGCCCAUGUUUUUAUUAUUGGCUGGACAGACUGCUGUGCAAAACAAGUAUCUGUCUAGCUCCGAAGGGGAUACUCAGGAAGAAACCGUAAGAAGAGCCCUUAAUUAAAAACAAAGGCAAGUCAUUUGGGGGAAGUUAGAAAAAGAUAUAGUCUCUGCAAAAGCAAGUGAUGGACUGAUUCCAAAACAUUGUUUAAAAUACUUUAGAAAUAGUUAUUAAUGUGGUGAGAAAAACAGUCACUUAAACUAUUAUGAAUGGGCUUUUUUGCACAUAAAAUAGGCUGGAAAUGGAUUCAAGCAGGAGUGAAAGUGUGAUAAAUAAAUAAACUAAAUCUACUGAGGAGGAAUAGAAGUCCUCCUGGAGAAAGACACUGUGGAAGAAUAAGGCCAUUUGCCAAAUAAUGGACCAGAAUGAUGAACUUCAUAUUAAUUGGCAUUGCAAAGUUAUUAUACAAUAUUUAGUAUACUUUAAUGCAUAUUCAUUUUUUCGACAUCAAAGGAUUUGAUAAUGUUGAGAAGAAUAUUUAGCAUUCUCAAAGAGCUUAAUUUCUGGAUCUCAGCUGUUCAUCACUGAACAAACAGGAUGUGAUACUAAUGGAGCAUUACCUUGCCCAGAAUAUUGACUAUUAAUAAUAUACAGUCAUUGAGAGGAAGCACUAGUUUAUGGACAUGAUUUAAAUACUAGAGAUUGGCAAAAGAGAAGGUUGUGUUCCUAAAGAUGUUUAUUCAUGUCAACCUUCUUUCCACUAUAACCCAAGUAGAAGCAGUAAGAAUAUAUUAUGAAUUUCCUCCUGAGAGAUAGCUAAGUGCACUGGACUUGAUGCCAGAACACCUGGGUUUCAGUCUCCAUUUCUAUGCUUCUGGCAAUGGGAACACUAAGAGGCCUCCCAGAGCCUGGUUUCUACCUGAUAAACACAGAUAAUAUUACCAAUUUUUGUCUGAUUUCCAAAAUGUAGUAACAUGAUAUACUGCAACAUGAAAGUGCUUUGUAAAUUUUAGAGAGUUGUAUACAUUAAGGUCCUUAUGUUAGGCUUUAAAAAAUAGUAUGUAAAUAAUUGAAAUACCACUUCAGCACAGAUCUAUAUUGUUCUAACUUUUGAUAGAAUUUUAUCAAAACUUAAUUUAAUUAUAGUUUCAUGCUAUGGUGCUUAUCAUCAACUUAGGUUAUGUGUGUUUACAGUGAUGUUCAUUGCACAUAAAUAUUUGGAAAAUAAAUAUUGCCUUCGCAGUUUUACCUA